rnacentral:rRNA from 1 species
GAUGAACGCUGGCGGCGUGCCUAAUACAUGCAAGUCGAGCGAACAGACGAGGAGCUUGCUCCUCUGACGUUAGCGGCGGACGGGUGAGUAACACGUGGAUAACCUACCUAUAAGACUGGGAUAACUUCGGGAAACCGGAGCUAAUACCGGAUAAUAUAUUGAACCGCAUGGUUCAAUAGUGAAAGACGGUUUUGCUGUCACUUAUAGAUGGAUCCGCGCCGCAUUAGCUAGUUGGUAAGGUAACGGCUUACCAAGGCAACGAUGCGUAGCCGACCUGAGAGGGGGAUCGGCCACACUGGAAGUGAGACACGGUCCAGACGCCUACGGGAGGGAGCAGUAGGGAAUCGGCCGCAAUGGGCGAAAGCCUGACGGAGCAACGCCGCGUGAGUGAUGAAGGUCUUCGGAGCGUAAAACUCUGUUAUUAGGGAAGAACAAAUGUGUAAGUAACUAUGCACGUCUUGACGGUACCUAAUCAGAAAGCCACGGCUAACUACGUG